rnacentral:rRNA from 1 species
CACGUAGGGGGCAAGCGUUGUCCGGAUUUAUUGGGCGUAAAGAGCUCGUAGGUGGUUCGGUAAGUCGGGUGUGAAACCUCCAGGCUCAACCUGGAGACGCCACCUGAUACUGCUGUGACUGGAGUCCGGUAGGGGAGCGUGGAAUUCCUGGUGUAGCGGUGAAAUGCGCAGAUAUCAGGAGGAACACCGGUGGCGAAGGCGGGUCUCUGGGCCGAUAUUGACGCUGGAGGAGCGAAAGCGUGGGGAGCGAACAGG